CUGUGUCUGCAACAGAUCUAAACUUUGGGGUGGGAUAUUUCUUUAGGACUAUGGUUUGGACGAGUCACUACUCAGCAGAGAACAUGCUAAUUGAUUUGUGUGCACCGCAAAAGGGGAAUAAGAUUUUCUACCUAUGGCGAGGUCUCCUCUCUUGUCCUUUUAACAAAGAUCACUCUUAAAGUCGACGUGCAAAGUCCAGGAGCCCACUUUGGCCAUGUCCACCUUGAUGUGUCUCAGCUUCAAGUUUUGGUAAGUAUAAUAGUGAUGGUGUGAUGGUGGUGGUGAUGACAAAGGCAAGCUGCGGGGGCAGUGGCAGUGGUGGUGGAAUGGUGGUGAUGGUGGUAGCUAUGACAACGACAAUUACUAACCAUUUAGCAAGUGUACCAAAUGUCCAAGUAGUAAAGACUCGGAAGUCCGAGUGUCGAUUUCCAUAGGGACUUUGUUUUGUAUUUGUGUUGGAUAAUUUUCAAUUUAUAAGAGGAAAAGAUAAAAUGAGGUAAAAAAAUAUGAAUUUAAAAGAACAGAAUAUAAAAUAAUAAAUAUUAAUAGACAAAAGAAAUAAUAGAGACUUCAAUGAGAUGAGAAUGUUAGGAUCUAACAUGCCUUAUUUGUUAUUUUUUAUUUUUCUUUAUCAAUCAGGUGAAUUUAUCCUACCCACAUC